rnacentral:tRNA from 1 species
CUGGGUGUGGCACAGUUGGUAGCGCGGGUGCUUUGGGAGCACCAGGUCGUAGGUUCGAGCCCUACCACCCAGACAA